CCUACGGGAGGCAGCAGUAGGGAAUCUUCCACAAUGGGCGAAAGCCUGAUGGAGCAACGCCGCGUGGGUGAAGAAGGUCUUCGGAUCGUAAAACCCUGUUGUUAGAGAAGAAAGUGCGUGAGAUUAACUGUUCACGUUUCGACGGUAUCUAACCAGAAAGCCACGGCUAACUACGUGCCAGCAGCCGCGGUAAUACGUCGGUGGCAAGCGUUAUCCGGAUUUAUUGGGCGUAAAGGGAACGCAGGCGGUCUUUUAAGUCUGAUGGGAAAGCCUUCGGCUUAACCGGAGUAGUGCAUUGGAAACUGGGAGACUUGAGUGCAGAAGAGGAGAGUGGAACUCGAUGGGUAGCGGUGAAAUGCGUAGAUAUAUGGAAGAACACCAGUGGCGAAAGCGGCUCUCUGGUCUGUAACUGACGCUGAGGUUCGAAAGCGUGGGUAGCAAACAGGAUUAGAUACCCUGGUAGUC
rnacentral:rRNA from 1 species